rnacentral:misc_RNA from 1 species
AACAGUACCGCGUGUGGUCACUAGACUGGCCCCGGGUUAACGCACAGAUGCCCUUCGUUGGGCAGAGGAUGUGUAAAACUACUUGUUGAAACACCUUUUUUAUGCUUCGGCUGCACCUUCCCGCUGCAAAGCGGGAGGGGUAGGUCGGUCAGAAGCCACUAUUAAACUAGUUGAUGAAAUGUCAUGCUGUCUGAUACUAUUUUAGUAUUUGAGAAAUCGAAUAUAUGUUA